GCCCCCGUGGCUCAAUGGAUAGAGCACCGGACUUCUAAUCCGAUGGCUGUGGGUUCGAGUCCCACCGGGGGCGCCU
rnacentral:tRNA from 1 species